AUGAGCGUCGGCCUUCUGUGCUGUGUGGCCUUUUGUCUCCUGCAGACAGGUCGAGUGAAUGCUGACAUCACUCAGAACCCAAGAUUCCAGGUCCUGGAGACAGGACAGAGUGUGACACUGAGUUGUACCCAGGAUAUGAACCAUGACAACAUGUACUGGUAUCGACAGGAUCCUGGGCUGGGGCUGAGGCUGAUCUAUUACUCAUAUGGUGUUGACAGCACUGACAAAGGAGAUGUCCCCGAUGGCUACAGUGUUUCCAGAUCAAGUACAGAGAACUUCCCCCUCACUCUGGCGUCUGCCACCCCCUCGCAGACAUCUGUGUACUUCUGUGCCAGCAGCUACUCCACAGUGCUGCACGGCCUCCUCCUCUCUGCACAUAAAGGCGGGGGAGGCUCUGCACCCUGA